rnacentral:rRNA from 1 species
UACCAGCUCUCCGAGUGGUGUGGAUGUUUAUUGGGCCUAAAGCAUCCGUAGCUGGCUGGGCAAGUCCCCUGUUAAAUCCACCGAUUUAAUCGUUGGUGUGCGGGGGAUACUGUUCGGCUAGGGGACGGGAGAGGCCGACGGUAUUUUCGGGGUAGGGGUGAAAUCCUAUAAUCCCGGGAAGACCACCAGUGGCGAAGGCUGUCGGCUAGAACGCGCCCGACGGUGAGGGAUGAAAGCUGGGGGAGCGAACCGGAUUAGAUACCCGGGUAGUCCCAGCUGUAAACGAUGCAGGCUAGGUGUUUGGGCGGCCACGUGCCGCUCUAGUGCCGCAGAGAAGUCGUUAAGCCUGCCGCCUGGGGAGUACGGCCGCAAGGCUGAAACUUAAAGGAAUUGGCGGGGGAGCGACCACAAGGGGUGAAGCUUGCGGUUU